UACGUAGGGUGCAAGCGUUGUCCGGAAUUAUUGGGCGUAAAGAGCUCGUAGGCGGUUUGUCGCGUCGGCUGUGAAAACUCGGGGCUCAACCCCGAGCCUGCAGUCGAUACGGGCUGACUAGAGUGCGGUAGGGGAGACUGGAAUUCCUGGUGUAGCGGUGGAAUGCGCAGAUAUCAGGAGGAACACCGAUGGCGAAGGCAGGUCUCUGGGCCGCAACUGACGCUGAGGAGCGAAAGCAUGGGGAGCGAACAGG
rnacentral:rRNA from 1 species